GACGAACGCUGGCGGCGUGCUUAGCACAUGCAAGUCGAACGGAAAGGCCCUGCUUUUGUGGGGUGCUCGAGUGGCGAACGGGUGAGUAACACGUGAGUAACCUGCCCUUGACUUUGGGAUAACUUCAGGAAACUGGGGCUAAUACCGGAUAGGAGCUCCUGCUGCAUGGUGGGGGUUGGAAAGUUUCGGCGGUUGGGGAUGGACUCGCGGCUUAUCAGCUUGUUGGUGGGGUAGUGGCUUACCAAGGCUUUGACGGGUAGCCGGCCUGAGAGGGUGACCGGCCACAUUGGGACUGAGAUACGGCCCAGACUCCUACGGGAGGCAGCAGUGGGGAAUAUUGCACAAUGGGCGGAAGCCUGAUGCAGCAACGCCGCGUGCGGGAUGACGGCCUUCGGGUUGUAAACCGCUGUCGCCUGUGACGAAGCGUGAGUGACGGUAAUGGGUAAAGAAGCACCGGCUAACUACGUG
rnacentral:rRNA from 1 species